UACGUAGGGCGCAAGCGUUGUCCGGAAUUAUUGGGCGUAAAGAGCUCGUAGGCGGUCUGUUACGUCCGCUGUGAAAACCCAGGGCUUAACCCUGGGCUUGCAGUGGAUACGGGUAGACUAGAGGCAGGUAGGGGAGAAUGGAAUUCCCGGUGUAGCGGUGAAAUGCGUAGAUAUCUGGAGGAACACCGGUGGCGAAGGCGGCAUCCUGGACCAACACUGACACUGAGGAGCGAAAGCCAGGGGAGCAAACGGG
rnacentral:rRNA from 1 species